GUAGGUGGCAAGCGUUGUCCGGAAUUAUUGGGCGUAAAGCGCGCGCAGGCGGUUCUUUAAGUCUGAUGUGAAAGCCCACGGCUCAACCGUGGAGGGUCAUUGGAAACUGGAGAACUUGAGUACAGAAGAGGAAAGCGGAAUUCCACGUGUAGCGGUGAGAUGCGUAGAGAUGUGGAGGAACACCAGUGGCGAAGGCGGCUUUCUGGUCUGUAACUGACGCUGAGGCGCGAAAGCGUGGGGAGCAAACAGGAUUAGAUACCCUGGUAGUCCACGCCGUAAACGAUGAGUGCUAAGUGUUAGGGGGGUUUCCGCCCCCCUUAGUGCUGCAGCUAACGCAUUAAGCACUCCGCCUGGGAGUACGGCCGCAAGGCUG
rnacentral:rRNA from 1 species